rnacentral:rRNA from 1 species
UACGGAGGGUGCAAGUGUUAUUCGGAAUCACUGGGCGUAAAGAGCACGUAGGCGGAUAGGCAAGUCAGAUGUGAAAUCCCGGAGCUCAACUCCGGAACUGCAUUUGAUACUGCCUGUCUUGAGUGAGGUAGAGGGGAGUGGAAUUCCCGGUGUAGAGGUGAAAUUCGUAGAUAUCGGGAGGAACACCAGAGGCGAAGGCGACUCCCUGGGCCUCUACUGACGCUGAGGUGCGAAAGCGCGGGGAGCAAACAGGAUUAGAUACCCGCGUA